rnacentral:lncRNA from 1 species
AUGUGUAACUGUAGUGACCCAAGUCCCCAGAUCACCCCCAGACUGAGGACAGCCUGCACUAUGAUCUCCUCGCCACUGAGGUGUCAGCUGACAGUCACAGAGGCUGCGCCCAAGGAGCGGGGUUCUGGUGGUAGGAUUUUGGGCGUGGAUGAGCCCCGUGAAGGUAGGAUGUUCUUCCUCAAAAAGGUGGCUGCCUUCUUCCUGUGUCCUCACAUGGUGGAGACUUAUCUAUUUUUAAAUACAUUAAAUUUUUUAAGAGUAUUUUUUUUUUUUUUUCCUUUGGCUGAACCGUUGGCAUGUGGAAGUUUGGGCCAUGGAUUGAUUCCAAGCUGCAGCUGCAACCUAUGCCACAGCUGCAGCAACGCCCAACCUUUAACCCACAGCAUUGGGCAAGGGAUCAAACCUGAGCCUCUGCAGUGA